rnacentral:pre_miRNA from 1 species
ACAACAGCAUUCGGACCGUCGGUCUACCGAGCAAUAUCACCCGCUCGGUGGAAGAUCUUCCCUUUGUCGUAUAUU